GAUGAACGCUGUCGGCGUGCCUAAUACAUGCAAGUCGAGCGAAGCGGGGACGGGUGAGUAACACGUGGAUAACCUCCUAUACUACUGGGAUAACUUGGUGUAAACGGAGCUAAACCUGAUACUUAUAUAUGGAUCCGCGCUGCAUUCGCUAGUUGGUAAGGUACAGGCUGACCAAGGCAACGAUGCAUAGCCGACCUGAGAGGGUGAUAGGCCACACUGGAACUGAGACACGGGCCAGACUCCUACGGGAGGCAGCAGUAGGGAAUCUUCCGCAAUGGGCGAAAGCCUGACGGAGCAACGCCGCGUGAGUGAAGAAGGUCUUCGGAUCGUAAAACUCUGUUAGUAGGGAAGCGGUACCUAAUCAGAAAGCCACGGCUAACUACGUGCCAGCAGCCGCGGUAAUAC
rnacentral:rRNA from 1 species